UACGAAGGGGGCUAGCGUUGCUCGGAAUGACUGGGCGUAAAGGGCGCGUAGGCGGAUGGCACAGUCAGAUGUGAAAUUCCCGGGCUUAACCUGGGGGCUGCAUUUGAUACGUGUUGUCUUGAGUUCGGAAGAGGGUCGUGGAAUUCCCAGUGUAGAGGUGAAAUUCGUAGAUAUCGGGAAGAACACCCGUGGCGAAGGCGGCACUCUGGGACGGUACUGACGCUGAGACGCGAAAGCGUGGGGAGCGAACAGG
rnacentral:rRNA from 1 species